rnacentral:rRNA from 1 species
AGUGAACGCUGGCGGCGUGCCUAAUACAUGCAAGUCGAACGAAGUGGCGCACGGGUGAGUAAUAUAUAGUUAAUCUGCCCUACACAGAGGAACAACAGUUGGAAACGACUGCUAAUACCUCAUAGUGUAGUAUGAGACUAUAUCGUAUCAGCUAGUUGGUAAGGUAAUGGCUUAACAUGGCUAUGACGAGUAACUGGUAUGAGAGGAUGGUCAGUCACAUUUGAAGUGUGACACGGUCCAAACUCCUACGGGAUGCAGCAGUAAGGGAUAUUGCAAAAUGGGGGAAACACUGACGCAGCAACGCCGCGUGGAGUAUGACACUUGUCGGCGCGUAAACUCCUUUUAUCAGGAAAGCGGUACCUGAUGAAGAAGCAACGGCUAACUCCGUGCCAGCAGCCGCGGUAAUUC